rnacentral:rRNA from 1 species
GUGGGGAAUAUUGGGCAAUGGGGGCAACCCUGACCCAGCGACGCCGCGUGAGGGAAGAAGGCCUUAGGGUCGUAAACCUCUGUUGUGUGGGAAGAAGGAAGUGACGGUACCACACGAGGAAGUCCCGGCUAACUACGUGCCAGCAGCCGCGGUAAUACGUAGGGGACGAGCGUUGUCCGGAAUUACUGGGCGUAAAGGGCGCGUAGGCGGUCAUUUAAGUCAGCUGUGAAAUGGUCCGGCUCAACCGGAUCAUGCGGUUGAAACUGGAUGACUGGAGUGCUGGAGAGGCAAGAGGAAUUCCCAGUGUAGCGGUGAAAUGCGUAGAUAUUGGGAAGAACACCGGUGGCGAAGGCGACUUGCUGGCCAGCAACUGACGCUGAGGCGCGAAAGCCAGGGGAGCAAACGGGAUUAGAAACCCCGGUAGUCC